rnacentral:tRNA from 1 species
GCGUUGGUGGUUCAGUGGUAGAAUGCUCGCCAGCCACGGAAGUGGUCCCGGGUUCGAUCCUCGGCUGAUGCA